UACGUAGGUGGCAAGCGUUGUCCGGAUUUAUUGGGUUUAAAGGGUGCGUAGGCGGCCUAUUAAGUCAGUGGUGAAAUAUCUCAGCUCAACUGAGAGUGUGCCAAUGAUACUGAUGGGCUUGAGUACAGAUGAGGUAGGCGGAAUUGACGGUGUAGCGGUGAAAAUGCUUAGAUAUCGUCAAGAACACCUAUAGCGAAGGCAGCUUACUAGGCUGUAACUGACGCUGAGGCACGAAAAGUGUGGGGGAUCAAAACAGGG
rnacentral:rRNA from 1 species